GGAUGCCUUGGCAGCCAGAGGCGAUGAAGGACGUUGUAGCCUGCGAUAAGCUCCGGUUAGGUGGCAAACAACCGUUUGACCCGGAGAUUUCCGAAUGGGGGAACCCACCCGUUGUAAGACGGGUAUCACCGACUGAAUCCAUAGGUCGGUGAGGCGAACGCGGGGAACUGAAACAUCUAAGUACCCGUAGGAACAGAAAUCAAUUGAGAUUCCCUGAGUAGCGGCGAGCGAACGGGGAUUAGCCCUUAAGCUGAUGAUUGAUUAGGAGAACGGUCUGGGAAGGCCGACCAUAGUGGGUGAUAGUCCCGUAUCCGAAAAUCUGAUUCAGUGAAAACGAGUAGGUCGGGGCACGUGUAACCUUGACUGAACAUGGGGGGACCAUCCUCCAAGGCUAAAUACUCCUGGCUGACCGAUAGUGAACCAGUACCGUGAGGGAAAGGCGAAAAGAACCCCGGAGAGGGGAGUGAAAUAGAUCCUGAAACCGUGCACGUACAAGCAGUCGGAGCCCGCUUUGUUGGGUGACGGCGUACCUUUUGUAUAAUGGGUCAGCGACUUAUUCUCAGUAGCGAGGUUAACCAUCUAGGGGAGCCGUAGGGAAACCGAGUCUGAAUAGGGCGUUUAGUUGCUGGGAAUAGACCCGAAACCGGACGAUCUACCCAUGGGCAGGUUGAAGGUGCGGUAACACGCACUGGAGGACCGAACCGGGAUCUGUUGAAAAAGAUUCGGAUGACCUGUGGGUCGGAGUGAAAGGCUAAUCAAGUCCGGAGAUAGCUGGUUCUCCCCGAAAGCUAUUUAGGUAGCGCCUCGUAUAUCACCACCGGGGGUAGAGCACUGUUUCGGCUAGGGGCCCAUCCCGGGUUACCAAACCGAUGCAAACUCCGAAUACCGGUGAGUGCAGUACGGGAGACACACGGCGGGUGCUAACGUCCGUCGUGAAGAGGGAAACAACCCAGACCGCCAGCUAAGGUCCCCAAAUUCCAGUUAAGUGGGAAACGAUGUGGGAAGGCUUAGACAGCUAGGAGGUUGGCUUAGAAGCAGCCACCCUUUAAAGAAAGCGUAAUAGCUCACUAGUCGAGUCGGCCUGCGCGGAAGAUGUAACGGGGCUCAAACUGGAUACCGAAGCUGCGGCAAUGUGCUUAGGCAUAUUGGGUAGGGGAGCGUUGUGUAAGUCUGUGAAGGUGUGUUGAGAAGCAUGCUGGAGAUAUCACAAGUGCGAAUGCUGACGUGAGUAACGAUAAUGCGGGUGAAAAACCUGCACGCCGAAAGACCAAGGUUUCCUGCGCAACGCUAAUCGGCGCAGGGUGAGUCGGCCCCUAAGGUGAGGCUGAAAGGCGUAACUGAUGGGAAACGGGUUAAUAUUCCCGUACUUCUUGUAACUGCGAUGGAGAGACGGAGAAGGCUAGGCCUACCGGGCGUUGGUUGUCCCGGGGAAAGACCGUAGGCUGGGAUCUUAGGCAAAUCCGGGAUCCUAAGGCUGAGAGUCGAGACCACCGGCCCUUUGCGGCUGGGAAGUGGUUGAUGCCCUGCUUCCAGGAAAAUCUUCUAAGCUUCAGGUUACAAGGAACCGUACCCCAAACCGACACAGGUGGUUGGGAUGAGUAUUCUAAGGCGCUUGAGAGAACUCGGGUGAAGGAACUAGGCAAAGUGGUACCGUAACUUCGGGAGAAGGUACGCCACUUGGUGUGAAGGGCUUGCCCCGUAAGCACUGAGUGGUCGCAGUGAAAAGGCCCCUGCAACUGUUUAUUAAAAACACAGCACUCUGCAAACGCGUAAGCGGACGUAUAGGGUGUGACGCCUGCCCGGUGCCGGAAGGUUAAUUGAUGGGGUUAGCUUCGGCGAAGCUCUUGAUCGAAGCCCCGGUAAACGGCGGCCGUAACUAUAACGGUCCUAAGGUAGCGAAAUUCCUUG
rnacentral:rRNA from 1 species